rnacentral:rRNA from 1 species
AGUAACACGUGGAUAACCUACCUAUAAGACUGGGAUAACUUCGGGAAACCGGAGCUAAUACCGGAUAAUAUUUUGAACCGCAUGGUUCAAAAGUGAAAGACGGUCUUGCUGUCACUUAUAGAUGGAUCCGCGCUGCAUUAGCUAGUUGGUGAGGUAACGGCUUACCAAGGCAACGAUGCAUAGCCGACCUGAGAGGGUGAUCGGCCACACUGGAACUGAGACACGGUCCAG